AGUGUUGGCCGAAUUUCAGCUCAAGGAAGAGAGAGAGAGAGAGCUCCCAAAUCAGGUUUUCUUACCUAAACAAAUCAAAGACCAAAAUUCAAGAGAGGAAUUUAGGGUUUGCAAGGAAGCUUUCUUUGUUUUAGUGUUGAAUCCCAACCUUGGAGCCUCUACUUGGUGGAUUUCUUGGUGAUUUGAACACCUUGUAAGUAAGGAUCGGGAAACAGAGGUGACUGUAACUGAAUCAUUUGAAGUUGAUAAUGACUUUUGUUUGACAGAGCGGGAAGGCUUUUGAUCAAAGGCAUACUUAGCUUUAUUUUGCCGUUUUGCGUUUUGAGGGGAGAAUUGGGCCCUGCCACGUAUUGGUUGGAUACGUUGAUUCGGCAUUGGGUUUGGUUAAAACGGUCUAGGCACCGUGGUUCCACUACUCACUUGUUAGUCAGGAUGUUCAGCAGCUUGUGGGUGUGUGAUGUGUUAUUUGGGUAUCUCGAGAUAACCCCCUCUUGUUGUGGCCAUUGGAGCUUGGAUCUGUAGAUGAUGGAGAUUUGAUGUUGGAGAUUGCAUAUAUUUUGGAGUUGGAAUUGCUAAUGGAAUUAAAUAUUGUACGGGACCAAGUGUUACGUUUAAAAAUGGGUGGGAGUCGCCUCUAAAGCCCAUAUAGCCUUGAAGCCAUAUCUGAAAUUGAAUACUGAACAGGGUUAAGUGCUAUGUCUAGAAAUGGGCAGGAGCAACCUCAAGAACUUGCAUCAGUACCUAUGUCCUUUGUACAUGUGUUGAAUUGUUUGUUUGAUUAUUUAUGCUUUAUGUUGAUUUGUUGGAAUUACUUGUUUAUUUAUUGAACAUAUUCUUGAGUUUCCUUUA